rnacentral:rRNA from 1 species
CACGCAGUAAACGAUGAUUACUAGCUGUUUGCGAUACACAGUAAGCGGCUGAGCGAAAGCGUUAAGUAAUCCACCUGGGGAGUACGUUCGCAAGAAUGAAACUCAAAGGAAUUGACGGGGGCCCGCACAAGCGGAGGAACAUGUGGUUUAAUUCGAUGAUACGCGAGGAACCUUACCCGGGCUUGAAAUGCAUCUGACAGGCGCAGAGACGCGCUCUUCCUUCGGGACAGAUGUGUAGGUGC